GACGAACGCUGGCGGCGUGCUUAACACAUGCAAGUCGAACGAAGUGGCGAACGGGUGAGUAACGCGUAAUCAACCUGCCCUUCAGAGGGGGACACCAGUUGGAAACGACUGCUAAUACCGCAUACUGAAGGAGGGGAUUGCGUCUGAUUAGCUAGUUGGAGGGGUAACGGCCCACCUAGGCAACGAUACAUAGCCGACCGGAGAGGUGGAGCGGCCAAACUGGGACUGAGACCCGGCCCAGACGCCUACGGGAGGCAGCAGUAGGGAAUCUUCGGCAAUGGGGGGAACCCUGACCGAGCAACGCCGCGUGAGUGAAGACGGCCUUCGGGUUGUAAAGCUCUGUUAAUCGGGACGCGGUACCGGAAUAGAAAGCCACGGCUAACUACGUGCCAGCAACCGCGGUAAUAC
rnacentral:rRNA from 1 species